rnacentral:rRNA from 1 species
UCCUACGGGAGGCAGCAGUGAGGAAUAUUGGUCAAUGGGCGCAAGCCUGAACCAGCCAUGCCGCGUGCAGGAUGACGGUCCUAUGGAUUGUAAACUGCUUUUAUACAGGAAGAAACACUCCCUCGUGAGGGAGCUUGACGGUACUGUAGGAAUAAGGAUCGGCUAACUCCGUGCCAGCAGCCGCGGUAAUACGGAGGAUCCAAGCGUUAUCCGGAAUCAUUGGGUUUAAAGGGUCCGUAGGCGGUUUAAUAAGUCAGUGGUGAAAGCCUAUCGCUUAACGAUAGAACGGCCAUUGAUACUGUUAGACUUGAAUUAGUGGGAAGUAACUAGAAUAUGUAGUGUAGCGGUGAAAUGCUUAGAUAUUACAUGGAAUACCAAUUGCGAAGGCAGGUUACUAUCACUAUAUUGACGCUGAUGGACGAAAGCGUGGGGAGCGAACAGGAUUAGAUACCCUGGUAGUCCACGCCGUAAACGAUGGAUACUAGCUGUUCGGAGCAAUCUGAGUGGCUAAGCGAAAGUGAUAAGUNUNCCNC